AUGAAAGAUGAAAAUUCUGUAUUAAAAACAGAUACUCCUUCAACUGCUGAUGACUCUGUGGAAACAAAUGAUGAGAACAGUCCAGUUAACUUCAUCAAAAUCGUUGACUCGUGUGGAUUGGUCCUGGAUAUCCCAGCAGUGGCAACCUCUGACGAGCUCAUCGUGGAUGACUCUGAACAGAGUGUCGCCCAGACCAAUAAUGAGAUCCCACAGCCUUCCGCCAGUACAAAGAUGACUAAGGUCUACCGUAAAAAGUCAACUGGCUCCCUCAAGUCCUCUUUUCUUGAUUCGCUCUCGAAUCGAGUUCAAGAAGUGACGAGAAGAAGGAAAGCAACAGAUUUUCGCAAUCUUCCUCCAGGUGUGACGCCUCCGCGUAGUCGGCGCUUCAAACACCCGGAGGAAGGUGACGCAACACUAGAUCCGGUGGCCCAGGUGUUAUUCCCGGACUCGGACGACUACCGCCUCGUCUUCAUAAGCUCCUCGGACUCCUCGUCGCGCGAGGAGCUGCCCUACGGGUCCGCCUCCGAAGACGAGAAAUCCUCCACCUCCUCCCUGGUCCACCCUUCUCUGGAGGACGGCGACUGGGACUAUUUCGAGGACCCGCCGCCGGGGAGCGCCAUCGGUUCCUUCUCGGCUGCCGCGCCAGAUCGCGCCAGCACCGUCGCGGAGCGCGCCGCGUUUCCCGCCACCGCGCCGGAGUUCAGUUUCGUUUCGAGUCUCCUCUCUUGCGCGUCGCCCGUGCAGCCGCUCGUAGUGCCCGUUCCGAUCCCGAUCCCCAUCCUAGUGCCAGUGCCGUGGAACCCCGAGUUGACCAUCCGCGUCGAGCACGGUGUGUCGCCCGCGCUUCGCACCCUCUUCCAGCAGAACUGGAGCGAGUACGUCCGCGGGUUCGGUGCGGUGACGGGGUCGCCAGCGCCCUCUAGCGGGGGCCCCGCGCAAAGUGCAGUGCAGUGCGAUGAAGGGGUGAGCGGCGGAGAUGCGCCCCCCGUGAGUGACGAGAUGGAUUUGCCGGAUGUGUGCCCCGAACACGACGCGUCGAGGAAGAAGUUCGCCACCCUCCCGCUCAGCGAGCUCCGCUCCGUCGGGGAGAUCCUCUCCAAGAAGCCGGUCGCGGAGGACCAGACGGACGAUGCCGGGGAGAUAGUCCUCAAGAAAUACCAGGUCAUCGAGGAUGCUGCCGAUCUCAGCCCUGACCCGGUCAGCUUGAACAAUAUUAUCAACAAGCAGCUCACCUCUGAGCUUUCAGUCUCUGACUCGGAUGCUUCUGACAACGAAGAGAAUUCGGUACAACGAAUAUAUACCCUCCACAAGUCGGCGGAUUCUGAAGAUUCAGAGUCUUCGGCAGAGGAGGACAUCGAAGAGGAGAAGACACAUGAUUUAGUCUCCCUGAGUAAUUUAGAUGCUAGUCCUGGUGUUGAAACUUUAAUGUCAGAUGUUUCGAAUGUCACUGAAAUAAGUCAGGACUCUUUGAAUCCACCAGAACAAACCCAGAUGCCACCUAGUCCAAUAAACAACAAAGUAAAAAGUAGAUCGAAAAUAUCUCCAAAAAUAUCUGCACGGCUGGAUAAAUUUAACCAAGUGGAUCAGUCAGCUGCUGAUAAUAAUGGGAAAAUGACAGUAGCGAAAAAAAUUGAGAAGAGCUUUGUGGCUGGAAUGACAGAAAAGUUGUCAAAAAGUGAUGAAUCAGAGUCAAAAUCUGAAUUGGUUUCUAGAAAUACUUCAAGUAAAAUUUGUGCUACAUCAUCCUCGUCAUCAGACGAGUUUUCUGGCACAGAAUCGAUGGAGUUGAUACCCACUGCAGAGGAUCUGAAAAUGGAAAGGGACUCGGAGGCAGAUAUGAGGAGACUCUCGCCAGUUUUAGAUGCUAAAACUGAACCGUCCUCGGACGAAAGUAUCUGUGAUAAAGAGCCGAAAUGCUCAACCCCAAUCAAAGACCAAAAAAGGGCUGAUCCUGAUGCCUGUAAUAUAUCAGAUGAAAAUAUCGGUGACAGUCCAAGUGGUCGGUUCACAAGUCUUAUCAUGAUAACAAGUGAUCAGGCUGAAAUAGAACCUGAGUUAGAAGACAAGAGUAAUGUUAAUAUUGUAACAAAUAGUAGCACUCAAUUAGUGCAAGAUAAAGUUGAAAAGAAAGAAGAGUUCAAACUCACUCUUAACACAGAACAAGAUGUAGAAAAAACACAGCAUGUGUCACGAUCCAAUUCUGAAAGUGACACGAAUACUGAUGAAGUUAAAGUAGUGACUGGUGGUGACACGCUGUCAGCUGUGAUUUGUCUAGAAGAAGGGUUAGCGGAUGAUGAUUCGUGGGUAGAGGAAAUCGAUCAUAGUGACACUAACCGAGGUGAUUAUGAUGAAGAUGAUAACUUUGAUGAUGAUAAUGAUAAUUUGAUGAUGAUUACGAUCAUUAUGAUGAUGAUGAUGAUGAUGAUGACGACAAGAAUGUUGGUCUGA
rnacentral:lncRNA from 1 species